CCUACGGGUGACUGCAGUGGGGAAUAUUGCGCAAUGGGCGAAACCCUGAUGCAGCGACGCCGCGUGGGUGAAGGAGUUUUUCGGAACGUAAAGCCCUAUCAGCAGGGAAGAACAAUCACGGUACUUGACAAAGAAGCACUGGCUAAAUCCGUGCAAGCAGCAGCGGUAAUACGUAGGGUGCCAGCGUUAUUCGGACUGACUGGGUGUAAAGGGAGCGGAGGUGGUGCGUGAAGACGGGUGUGAAAGCCCGGGGCAAAACGGCGGGACUGCAUUGGAAACUGGCGCGCUGGAGGGCCUGAGGGGUUGGCGGCAUUCCAAGUGUAGCGGUGACAUCCGUAGAUAUUUGGAGGCACAUCAGUGGCGAAGGC
rnacentral:rRNA from 1 species